rnacentral:rRNA from 1 species
GGGGAAUAUUGGACAAUGGGCGCAAGCCUGAUCCAGCCAUGCCGCGUGUGUGAAGAAGGCCUUAGGGUUGUAAAGCACUUUCAGCGAGGAGGAAGGGAUAGGCGUUAAUAGCGGCUAUUUUUGACGUUACUCGCAGAAGAAGCACCGGCUAACUCCGUGCCAGCAGCCGCGGUAAUACGGAGGGUGCAAGCGUUAAUCGGAAUUACUGGGCGUAAAGCGCACGUAGGCGGUUCGUUAAUUUGGAUGUGAAAGCCCCGGGCUCAACCUGGGAAUUGCAUUCAAAACUGGCAGACUAGAGUAUGUGAGAGGGGGGUAGAAUUCCAAGUGUAGCGGUGAAAUGCGUAGAGAUUUGGAGGAAUACCAGUGGCGAAGGCGGCCCCCUGGCACAAUACUGACGCUGAGGUGCGAAAGCGUGGGGAUCAAAC